rnacentral:rRNA from 1 species
UACGAAGGGUGCAAACGUUGCUCGGAAUUAUUGGGCGUAAAGCGCACGUAGGCGGCUUGGCAAGUCGGAUGUGAAAUCCCCGGGCUUAACCUGGGAACUGCAUUUGUGACUGCACGGCUAGAGUGUGUCAGAGGGGGGUAGAAUUCCACGUGUAGCAGUGAAAUGCGUAGAUAUGUGGAGGAAUACCGAUGGCGAAGGCAGCCCCCUGGGAUAACACUGACGCUCAUGCACGAAAGCGUGGGGAGCAAACAGG